rnacentral:lncRNA from 1 species
GUUUGUCACCAAUCCUUUAUUGAAACUGGUAACCGACACGCUUUAUAAUAGAACAACAAAAAUAAUGUUCAAUAUAUACAGCCUUUGCAUGGACUAUCUGACUAUACACAAGGCAGAGUGAUAACACGAUCUAACUUCCAUAAUCAUUUGUGCACAAAAAGACACCCAGCAGACAUGUGGACAUUACAGUGGAAUGACAUCACGGUCCAGUGAAAAUUCAGCCUAAUACAAAAAACGAACUCGUCUAUCGCAAAUGACAGCUCUCUCAACGCCCAGAGCUUCUCAGUAGUUAAUUCACCCGGAGUCCGAAGCAGAGAUUUGGUGUGUGGCUAUGAGUCUCUUCAGUGAGACCACCUCUGUGGAUAAGUUUGCUAUGCCCUGCUUCAGAAACAAAUUCUCCGGGUCAGACACUUUGUAGCCACUGUCUUGCAUUUCCACAACUCCCGUUUUGAAGCUGUUCUGGGUUUUGCCAUGAAGUUCUUUUUGGUGCCAGUGUUCUGAUUUGAGAGACCAAUCUUGAAUGUUGGUCACCUGCACUGAGAAAGGGGUGAGGGAAGAAUGUACCAUCCCGGGGCCCGGGUGCUUCUCGAGUUCGAAAUGUCUCUUAGGCGCCCCGUCGACAGGCGAGGACGGUUUCUGCGUGGCGUCGAACUCGUGGUCGAAGGCCUCCACCUUGAUCUGCAUGGCUUUGGCUUUUAUGCGAAGCUUGUGCGGCAAGGCCGAGGAGUUCGCUUCUGGAACCUUAACCACGGUGGCGUGGACGCGCUGAAGCUCCACGGGCGAGUGGAUGGGGCCCUUGGGCACCUGCUGCUCGUCCUCGCCGUCCGAGGACUUGCCCACGGCACCGUCGUCCGUCUCCGAGGUCCGGGGGGAGUUGCUGGAGGAGCGGGCCACCUGCAGCAGAGGGGGAGAGUGCGAGUAGCCGGGGAAGGCGGUCCCCAUGAGGUUCUGGUACACGGAGGCCCGGUAGGCGCCCCGCUCGUCGCCAGGCUCCCUCGCGUAGCUCUCCAGUUCCACCGGCUCCUGCUUGAUGGCCUGGAACUUGCCCUCGGGGCUCCCGCAGCCACCCCGCGCUGCCCCGUCCUGAGAAUGUUCCAGCGAGGACACUUCGGAGACGUCAGACAGGGAGGCCUGCGGGGAGUGCUUGAUGACCGAAAUGCAGCCGCUUGUCACCAUCGAGGGCUCAUGCUCAUCCACGAAGGGGCUGGCGCUGGCUUUGGACGCCUGGUAGUCUUGGAAGUACACGGCCGUGGAGUGACUGAGUUUCUGAAUCUCUUGGGUGUAGGCCGUAGAGCUAAUUAAACCAAACUUUAAUUUUAGGGACAGCAGCUCGGCUUUCAGAGUAGCAUUUUCUUCUCCCAAGGCGAUCAGCUUGUUCUCCAAAACCAGGUCAUUCAGCCGACGCUUCUCCCGGGACCUCUUGGCAGCUUCGUUAUUUUUCCGCCUCUUUUCCCAAUACAUGGCAUCCUUCUUCUCGUCGGGAAUGAACUCCCGUUUCCUCCGACACGCGGAAGACUUGCUUUUCCCCACGCUGCCUUCGUUCAACAGCAGCUCUUCGCCCGCCGUCAGGUCUUCCGAGACCUCGGUGAGCGUGGGGUUGAGCACCAUCAUCUUGUCCACACCGCUGCCAGCAUCCAGGGAUGCCUGCUCCUUCUUGAUGGUCUGCAUUUUCCUCAGCUGCAUCAGAAUCAGGACGGAUGACUCCC